rnacentral:rRNA from 1 species
CCUACGGGAGGCUGCAGUGGGGAAUAUUGGGCAAUGGGCGCAAGCCUGACCCAGCAAUGCCGCGUGAAGGAAGAAGGCUUUCGGGUUGUAAACUUCUUUGACAGGGGAAGAGCAGAGGACGGUACACUGAAAACAAGCUACGGCUAACUACGAGCCAGCAGCCGCGGUAAUACGGGGGUGGCAAGCGUUGUCCGGAUUCACGGGGUGUAAAGGGCAGGUAGCCGGGAUGGCAAGUCAGAUGUGAAAUCCGGGGGCUCAACCUCCGAAUUGCAUUUGAUACUGUUUAUCUUGAGUACUGGAGAGGCAGACAGAAUUCCAUGUGUAGCGGUGAAAUGCGUAGAGAUCAGGAGGAAUACCAGUGGCGAAGGCGGUCUGCUGGAC